UGCUGGCUCCCAGAGUUCCCCGAUGGGAUUAAGCUCCAAUUGACUAUAGUAGUAACUUGUGUGAAAACACAUCCUCCAUCGACUGCCUUCUUUUCCCUGUCUCGUUCCCUCAAGCUCCAAAUGGUGCCACCUGGGAUCGUCUCCCAAGUAAUCUACUUGUACUCGAGAUCUUUGUGUCAGGGUCUCCUCGUGCGGGAAGCCAAGCUAACGCACGCGACUAUCUCCCCCACUUCCGGGUCUCUGUCUAUGCGGUUAAAAUGAGACCGACCCCCAUCCCCCAACUCCAGGGAUGGGCACAUGACUCGGAGCUGACCAAUCACACCACCAUACCUCUUUGGCUACAGUGAUUGGUUCAGGGGUCGUCACGUGACCCCCAACCAGGCCAAUGACAGCUUCUUCCUGGACUUCUACCGAGACGACUGGGAACAGGAGCCUUUUUCUGCUGCGGUCCCCAAACUCUUGGGACGUUAGGUUGGGGGCCGGUGUUCUCUGAGGAUGAAGCCGCCUCAGAGGAUGCUGGUGCUGAGCUGAGGAAGCGAAAUCAGAUCCAGGUGGCCUUAUGUGCAUCCCUGGUUCCAACGCAGUGUAUAAUUUUAAGUGCCGUUUAUUAGCCUGGUCCAUCCUGAGCUCUCUUGCUCCCCACAGGCAGGCCUAUUUCCCAUAGCUCCUCGGGUUUGCCCUCCCUAUCUGGCCCCUCAAGUGACAGGGUUUGCAGUCCCUGGGUUUGGCCGGGAAAUCGUUCUUGCCUGAGUAUUCUGCGUUGCUUUAGCAACAUUGUGGAGCAAGGGGAGUUACCAACGUUCAAGGUGGCGGAAUAACCUGUUUGAGAAAUCAACUACUUUUCAUUUCCUCAACUCCAGAGUCAUUGGGAAAGAAUGAAAGAACCGAAUUUUGCGGGGCCAAGGAGCAGCGUGCAAGGCCCAGAGGAUGAAUUCUUUUUGGUCUAAGCCAGCAUGGGAAUCCUGUGUCCUUUUGACCUAGUCUUGGGGACGUGACUUUUGGAGCUAGAGCACUUACUUUGAGACUCUAAGGGAAUGGCCGAGGGAAUCCUCAAGAAACUGACCCGUUGCCCUAAUACUGAGAUGCCGAAGUUCUCAAUCCCAAAACAUUUUACUUACUGACUUACUGUUACCUGAGAUAAUAAAGAUCGACAUUUAAGGCUCUCUUAACUGAGUGUCAGGUUACCUGCAGCCCAAACGUGCCCUAACGGAUCCACCUGCAGACUUUAGAAGUUUAAAGCACGGAAGGCAGAACAAAAAAGGCUGCCGCUUCUCUGAGAUUGUUCUGGUUCUACAGCCGGUCAGGCUUCUCCCACUUUGCUCUUUGACUCUUUCCUCGUGAAGCUCUUGCAGCUGAAUAAGCAUUAAUAAUUCAUCAGGACCCCACCACUCUGGGCUGAAUUGUGUAAACUUCCUUGUUAGUCUGAAGGUUUCCUGAAGCCCUGUGCAAGCAUUUACCGUGUAGAGGGUAAGACGGGGCUAACCUAGGAGUUUGGCCUCUAACGUUGUAAUUUUUGUGUUGAAUUUUUUUUUUUAUUUGUUAAUAAUAUCAAACCUACAGAAGAGUUGGAUGAAUAAAAAUGGGACAAAGAACACCUAAGAGAAAGCAUGAGCAGGA